AUUAGGCAUGCAAGUCGAGCGAGAAGCUUCCUUCGGGAAGUGGACAGCGGCGAAAGGGAGAGUAAUACGUAGAAAUCUGCCCCGGAGUCUGGGAUAGCGUUGGGAAACUGGCGGUAAUACCGGAUAACGUCUUCGGACCAAAGAAUUUCGCUCUGGGAUGAGUCUACGACCUAUUAGCUAGUUGGAGGGGUAAUGGCCCACCAAGGCGACGAUGGGUAGCGGGUGUGAGAGCAUGAUCCGCCUCACUGGGACUGAGACACUGCCCA
rnacentral:rRNA from 1 species